GAUGAACGCUAGCUACAGGCUUAACACAUGCAAGUCGCGGGGCAGCAUGGGGGUUGCUUGCAAUCCCCGAUGGCGACCGGCGCACGGGUGAGUAACGCGUAUCCAACCUGCCCUUCACCACGGGAUAACCCGGCGAAAGUCGGACUAAUACCGCAUGUUGUCCAUUGACGGCAUCCGAUUUGGACGAAAGGUUUGGCGGUGAAGGAGGGGGAUGCGUCCGAUUAGCUGGACGGCGGGGUGACGGCCCACCGUGGCGACGAUCGGUAGGGGUGCUGAGAGGAAGGUCCCCCACACUGGAACUGAGACACGGUCCAGACUCCUACGGGAGGCAGCAGUGAGGAAUAUUGGUCAAUGGGCGUAAGCCUGAACCAGCCAAGUAGCGUGCAGGAUGACGGCCCUAUGGGUUGUAAACUGCUUUUAUGCGGGGAUAAAGUGGCCCACGUGUGGGUUUUUGCAGGUACCGCAUGAAUAAGGACCGGCUAAUUCCGUG
rnacentral:rRNA from 1 species